UGAGGUUGGAUCUCUUGAAUAUUUAUAACAUCAGUAGAGUUAUCAUCACUGCGCGUGACUACUAUUACGGUGAAGUCAGUGGAGCAGACAUUCGUAUUGGAAACUCACUGGAAAACAAUGGAAACAACAAUUCCAGAUGUGAUGUUACUUCCUAUUUACCUGGUAAUACUCAGAGUUUCUCAUGUCAUGGGAUGUCGGGACGUUAUGUGAAUGUGAUCAAGACUGGACUUACAGCUAUGCUCAUUCUGUGUGAAGUGGAAGUCUUUGCUUCAGAGAAUUUAGCAUUCAGAGGAACAGCUACACAGUCAUCUACCGGCUGGAAAGCUCAACAUGC